AGAAGAAAAGCCAGUUUCCCUUUUUAAUGCUGAGCGCCACGCAAUUCAGUUGAUAUUGCCUCAUAUUAUAUAGAAUCAUUCAAUUUAAAAGUAUUCCAAAAUGCCUACGAUUUUUUUUUGAUAUUUGAUAAGAUGGACAUGUUUAAUAUUGAUACAAGUAUGUAUAAGCGAUGAAAACACCAUAUAUAUGCAACAGGAAUGCAGCCAUGGUUAUGACAUUGGUUCUUUGUAUUCUAUGGUGUUAUGGAUCAUUGGAUCCGCCUUGUUGACUCUGUUGGUUCGGGGAAUCGCAAGACAGUAAAUGAACUGAUGUUUUCACAUUAAUAGUUUUCUACGUUCUGUUUGUUAUAGUUGAAUAAUACUGUCAGCCAUAUUGGCGUCCUUUUGCAGGCUGAAAAGCAAAACGACGAUAUUUUUUAUUUUGGCUCAAGCGUCAUAGCGAAAACACCUCAUUUAGUACGCGACAGAACAAAAUAACACAACGUGCCAGGAAGAAGAGACACGAGUUUAAACACACUCUCAACGGUGCGUGUAACAUAAUAUGUCGCCUUGCCCAGUGUGGGGGAACACGUGACCUGAAAUAAUGCAUAACACAGAUAAAAUGGCGGCCACAGAGCCAAAUUUUACGGAAAAUGCGAGGAUAUUAGAUACCUCACUGUCAAAGAAGCUUCAACAGGAAAUCUGUCCCAAAAGAGACUUAGGUGUAAGGUUGGAAAAAGCAUGAAAAGGGGGAAAUAAAAUGCCACUAACAUGAAGAAUGGACUGUGAUAAUGCGAAGUCUUGUGUUUUGGAAACGACAUUUUGAUUCAAUACUAACUUGUGAUGUGUAUUGUUCUCAUUUCAUCUAACAGUAAACGCAUCAUUUGUCUCUUUCUCAGCUGAAUUAAAGUUCAUAUGAUGAAAUAGAACAGAAGACAUUCACUUUCAAUACUUAAUUACAGUAAAUACGCGAGGAUGGAUGUAAAACUAUAAAUAAACAUUAACAACACAAAAAUAAUGGUAACAGGCAGAAAUCAUAAGAAAAAAGUGUUUAUAAGGAUGGAACACAGAUAUCUGAUACUGAUGAUAUCUUAUAUUUUAUCAUUAAUUAACAUCGUACUUUCUAUGUUAUUCUAUCAGUCACAUUUUGUCUGAAUUUGUUACUAAUAGCAGUUUAAUUGACACCCUGUAACUCUUAUUUGUAAAUCAUUUUAAUAAGACAAAAAGACAUGAGAAUGGUUUUCUUCUUUUUAUUUUAUAGUUCACAUGCACACAGAAUUGAGUUUAAAGUGUCAUAAUCUGUAUAAUUUGUUUUAAUGUUUGAAACGUAAGAACCAGAAUACAACAGCAUGUUUGGAUUCAGUGUUGUUCUAUUUUAUAGUCCUUUAAAUGUCUUUGUAGCAGAAUUCCGCUUAAGCCGGUGCUUGGAGGGGGAGGGGUGCGCGAGGAGUGUUGCACUUUCCAUUACCCCUCAUGAACAGAUUCAAUCCAACCGAGUCCGUUACUAUUUUGCUAGGCUGCAUUCAGUGCUUCAAGAGGUUCCUCUUACAGAUUUGUUUCAACUAUCUUAACAGCAAUCUUGAAGUGCCAUGUGACGGGCGUAAAAAGUCUCCUUCGAUUUUAUUUAGAAAAAAAUCUCGACUCGCUCAAAACUUCGAGGUAUUCUAAGAAACAAGCAAAGCUACAUUUUGAGGCAAUAUACUGUCGAAAAGAGAUUUGUGUGCUGCUUAGCCUGCGUUAGGUCUAAUAAAAACGGUUGCGUAUAAAAGUAAUUUACUUCGCAUUUUCCGUCAAAUUUGGCUCCGUGGCCGCCAUUUUAUCAGUGUUGCAUUCAUUUUAGGUCACGUGUUCCCCCACACUGUUUCCGAUAUACGGAGUGUUGUCGGCAACACAUCAAAAUGACAAAUCUCAUCAUGGUAGAGCAUGCGCAGAAAAAAAAUCACCACGGCUAUUUUUAUUAUGUGUAUGGUUAGGAAGAAGAAGAAGAAGAAGAAUCUUUAUUAUGCAAUAAAUCAAACAAGAUCCAUCAGCAUAUCUUCAAUAUACAUACAAAGUAAUAAAUAUAACAUGUAUGGCAAGAUAGCAGAUAUGUAAAUACAAGUUUAACAAUUGUUUCAGUAACUCAUAGGUAUCAGUAAUAACACAGAUUUGGGAGAAACAAUUUUGAUAACCCAAGCAUGUGUAUUAGCUAUUUAAACAUUAGAGUUUAUCUAUUUAGAUACUUCCUUUUUUCAAAAGCUUUAAAGAUAUACGUUGCAAGAUUACGAGUAUCUUUACUAUUUUCAUUAAUAAAUAAUUGCAAAAAUUUAAAAUAACUUGGAUGGUGCCAAAAAUACUUCCUGAUUAACUGUUUUCUUAAAUCUACAAACUCCUGACAUUCAAUGACAAAAUGAUACUCGUUCUAAUAUGUGGCAGUUAGUACAAAUUCUAUUUUCAUAAGGUAUGUUAUUUAGACGGCUCCAUCUACCAGUCUCAACAGCCAGUCUAUGCGAUGACAACCUCAGUCUUGUUAAUGCUAUUCUGAACUUCCUUAUACUUAUUACUGUUAAGUAAUUACUGAAACUGAAAUCAAAUAUAUUCUUGUAAAAUAGUGCUCGGCUUGAUUCAUUUAUAGAUGUGUUCAAAUCCUGUAUGUAAAUGUCCCUUAGACGCUGUUUUAAAAUAUUAAGAAAGGCCUUUGUGUCUCCUACACUCUGAGCAAGCCAAACAUGAUAGAAUCCUAAUUUUGAUAACAAAAAUUUCACCUUGGAGACCCAGUUUAUUUUGCAUGGAUUUAGAUCUAUACAAGUUUUCAAAGAAAUAUAUACUUGUUUAGUCUAUUUAACCUGGUCACAAUUGAUAAUUUUCAACCAGUACUUUAUAAUAUUAUAAUGUCUAUCUGUUACUAAGUUGUAUCUACCUGUUUCCGCAUAAAUAAAACUGUUCUGUGUAGUAAUUUUCACCCCGAGUAACCUUUUACAGAAGCUUAGAUGUGUUCGUUCUACUUGUAAACCUUUAUUAAAACCCCAAAUUUCAAUUGAAUAAUUCAAAAUUGGAAUGAUGAGUUUAUCAAAAAGAUCUAAUGUAUGUUUUGGCCCUAUAUCUGUAAACUUGUAAAGAUAUUUAUUCAUUUUAAAAAUUGCCUUAAGUGCCUGUCCUGAAAGCAUUUUGUCAGUCUCAUUAAAAGAGCCACCUGAGGUAAAUAAUAAAUAAGAUACCAAGACAUUUAUUUACUCACUAUUUCUAACUGAAUAUUCUUAUAUCUGAAAUUGAUAUUCACUUAGCCUUCCCCCUUUUCUAAAAAUCAUUACUUUUGUCUUUUCUGUAUUAACAGUUAAUUUCCAUCUAUCACAUCCAUCAUUAGGUAUAUUUUAUAUCAACUACAUGAUUAUUCAGUGUAAUAUAUGAAGUGACUUUUCAUCAAACCUUCUUACCGUAUGAUGUAUGAUUACUCAAAACCUACGUUAAUUAUAUAUCGCGAGACAGAAUAAAAUGUUUUUCAGAACUUCUUAGAUAUUUUAGCUGAGUCACAGAUAGGAAUGUCUAAAUACAACAUUUCAAAUUUUGUAUAACAAGGGCUUCAGCAGGAAAACUGAUUGAAGGUCCAAAUCCCCCACUGGCUCGAACUUGGUCUCCUACGGCUUGGCAUGGUUUCAUGACCGACUUAGUUCAGGCAAAUGGCUAAUAAAAUACUAGUAAGCUAAUGGACCAGAAUUUACAAUGACACAUCCCCUUUAGUUAUUAUGAUUUUAUCAACACUUUUUUUUAAUUAAAAAUCAUAAUGACAUUUCUCUCUAGUUGCACAAAACACUAAAACGCCCAUCCAUAUGUGAUUCUUGUAACUUAUAUGCAAAUAUUUAGAUAUUCAUUUAUAACUAAUUUCUUCUUUACAUGAGAACUGUUGUAAACAUCAAUCGAUCUAGGGGUGUGCUGGUAUUAAAUGGAUUGGACUUUCUAAAAAUAGCUUUUCUUUUGAAAGCUGUCCUCCCUACUUGACCAAUACAUCCUUUAAAAAUUCGCCAGCAAUAAUUUCCUGGUAUCUAUUUUUCUUGUCCACGAUCAGGAGGUGAGUGCGUUCAAAAGUAUAACCAACACUUAUGAUAUACGAAUAUCACUGAGGCGGUUCCGUCACAGCGAAUGACACAAGUCGGUCCAAAUAUGAAUGCUAGGAUACUGUAUCGGCAUUUCGUAAAUCUGCAUGACAGUGACAAAAUGUGGCUGACGGGCAUAAUUUUUGGUUGCGGGUUUAUCCCGCUACCAAAGUUAAAGUGUAUUUCUGACAAUCAUAGCAUCUUUAUUUGAUUCCGAAUCACAUCCAAAGGAUGCUCAUGUGCUACACAAAAUAGUCCCAUUCAUGAACAAUGCGGAUGACUUACUGGGAAUGUGGUAAGUGUAUACCUGGGAAUAAGGUAACGUCUGUGCGUUCUGAUUGGUCAGUCAUGUAAACAAACCCAGGAAGUGAUUAUUUUUUCAAAAUUGAUAUUUUUUCACUGCAUUUACAGUAUUUUAUUAUACAUUUGAACAAAAUUUGCUACAUUUUAUGUGUAUUGAAAAAAAAAAUUUAUCACACGAAUUCCUCCCGCCAUGUUAAUGAUGUAAACAGGGGGUCAUCUCAUUCACAAGAAAAUUACUUAAAUAAAGUAUCACUAUUCAUAUGUUUUUCGUCCGAUAUUUUGGUAGAACUAAGAUAGUUCUUGAAAAACUUGUAAUUAGAUAUACAUGUUUCGAUGUAUGGAAGGCCGUAAACUCCAUAAUGUUACAAUGUAAGUCUAUGGGAAAACAAUUGGUGGUCUCUAACCUCAACCUGUAUCCACUCACACUGACCAAUUAGAUUAUAUAAGAUCUAUCAAUGAUAAAGUAUUCCAGCCCAUGGUUACAUCACAAGCUAGGUCAGGCAGAAUUCAUCUUGGAUAUGCGGCACAUUGAAUUUGUAUUUGUUUCUCAUUCAUGAAUAUUCAUAGACUGGCAUUGUGACAGAAAAUAAAUCUUCCAAAACCCCGCAAUCAUCAGACAUUUCAAGGCUUUGAUUUAAAUUAUAAGCAAGCGCGGUCUUACAAUAUUUAAAGCGCGGUCUUACAAAAAGUGUAUCUUAUAAUAAAACGCAAUCUUACAAUAAAACGGAUUUUACAAUGAAAUGGGAUAGCGGUCUUAACAUAAAGCGCAUUUUACAAUUAAGCGCGAUCUUGCAAUAAUAUGCAUUUUACAAUAAAGCGCAUCUUACAGUUAAGCUUCUUAACAAAAUUUAUCCGAGUACAAGCGUUAUGAGCGGUAGUCACGUGUAGCACAAAAAUGACCUGCUUUAUUUUGCAUGUUUAAAUAUAUAUUUACAUUCACUAUAUGUUAUAUACAGAAGAAAAAUGAGGCUAUUUCCGUUUAAACAACAUUAUUGGUGCAAUAACAUGAAAGGUGGUACCUUCUGUGAGACUGAACAAACGAUCUGACGCUAUUACAGCCCCCCCCCCCCCCCCCCCCCCCCCACCCCCCAAUAUAAAAAAAUGGCUCACGGAAUCGAAAUCACCUUUUGUAGCAAGCGGCUUUUCUAAUGUAGCCUUUUAAACAUCGCAGACAUACCGACUGUUUUGUUUUGUUAAUGACCUUAAUCAUCGAUUUUAGAAUAAUCUAAUCAUUAUUUAAAACGAUUUCUUGUUAUAUGCAGAGGUUCAGAUAAAAAGAAUAUAGGCUAUUUAUUAACUUGGAUUGAGAAAAAUGACGAUUUCUGCAACGGAAUGAUAUUACGCGUAUUCCUUGAUGUAAAGCUAAUGUUAUUUUUAGCUCACCAGAGCCAAAGGCUUUUACUUUAAACGACAUCUUCUCAUAAACCACUAGGCCAAUUUCAUCCAAACUUCACAGGAAUGUUCCUUGGGUGAAGCUCUACAAAAAUUUCCAAAUAAUUGAAUUCCAUGCAGAAUUCUAGUUGCCAUUGCAACCAAAAGGAAAAACUUUAAAAAUCUUUUCCUCAAAAACCAGAAGCCCUUGAGCUUAGAUAUUUGGUGUGAAGCAUUGCCUAGUGAAACUCUACUAAGUUUGUCCAAAUCAUGACCCCGAGGUCAAAAUUGACACCGCCCCAGGGGUCACUUAUUUUUACAUAGGAAAAUCUUAAAAAAUCUUCUUCUAAAAAACCAGAAGCCCUAGAGCUUAGAUAUUUGACAUGUAGCAUUGCCUAGUGGACCUAUACUAAAGUUGUUCAAAUCAUGACCCCGGGGUCAAAAUUGACCCCGCCCCAGGGGUCACUUGAUUUUACAAAGAUUUCUACAGGAAAAUCUUCAAUUAAAAAAAAAACAACAGAA